ensembl:lncRNA
ACCACUGCCAGGACCCUGACCUCAACCUUAUGGCUCCAGCUCCUAACUCUGUCAGGCUAUAGUCUUUCUGGUCUCUUCUGACUUUUUUCUCUCUCAAGAUUCUGAUUGGCUCGGCUGGUCAGGUGUCCAUACUUGGUCCAAGAAGCUGUGCUAAGGGGCCAACAAGUAGGGCUGCUCAGGUGCUUUCAAUGGCGUCAUGGAACGCCCCCCCCCCCCCCCCCCCCAUGGGCAGCCUCAGUCAGACGGAUGGAGAGAAAUGCAGCCUUGAUGAACUGUUUUAAACACGUGUGAUCAGAAACUCUAGAAAAAAAGAAUUUCAGCAUAUAUUUUGGCUACUUUCCAAAAUACAUGUGCGGAUUAGGAAACAAGACGCAGAGAGACUCCGACCCGCUCAAGGUGAAAGUCCCAGUUGGUGGCUGAGCCAGCCAAGGAUGCCUGCGUCCUGACAUCCAGCCCUGAGCUCUUCUGAAGAUGAGGGGACUCUUAAGAAUACACAAUACUUCCAGGCUUUUUGUUCCGACAGAAGUAAGUUUGCAAAGCAGUUGUGGAGGACUCUCGGAAGAAGGGCAAACAGUCCCCGAGGGGGUGGAGCUGCUGGUUCCAGGAGCUCUGUUGCCAGCAAUUAUUAAUUCACUCCGGCUGGCGCUGUCUUGGGGGCCUCCCGCGCACAAUAGCAUUAGGAGCGUUGGCAGCUGCGGAGGGAGAAGGCCCGCUCCACCUGGGAAUGAGGAAGAUGUGACUCCUCGCAAGGUUGCUCUCCUCCCAGCUCCCGCUCUUGGGAGAGAUGAUCAGUGCUUGCGGGCCUGGGAGCAGGCUGCUGAGGACACAGUGUUCCCGGGGAUGGUGGCAGAUCUUGGAGAAGGGACAGAAGCUGGGCCAAGAGACUGGAACUUAUGCAAAUCAGGCCUGAGGAUGGUUCAAGGAGGGGGCAGCCCCUGCCUUAUGCCUCCCCCUCAGCAUACCCAGAACCAGACUCCUCGGGAGGAACAUCUUUUGUCUUCAAUGCUAAGCUUGUUCACGAGGAUGUGUGUGAGCAAAAUAUUGCUUAGGAAUGUGCACUCUGGAGCAGACUGUGUGGGUUCAAAUCCUGGCAUCAUCAUUAACCAGCUGUGUGACUCUGGGCAAGAAAAAUUGUGGAAGCUCUCUGACUUUUUUUUCAUCUGUAGGAUGGGAAUAAUAACACGUACCUCGUUAAUUAAAUGAGCAAUUACACACAAAAAACUUAGAAUUUGCAGAGAAUGUGGGAAGGCCUCCAUCAAUUAUCAUUUUUCUCCAUGGAGCUCCAUUGAGAGACAUAAUAUACUGUAAAGAGCUUGGCUUUGGAGAAAGACAGAGCUGGGUUCCAAGUCCUGCCUCUGCCGUUGCCCUGCUGCAUAACUUUGGGCAAGAUGCUUAGCUUCUCAAUGCCCAAUUUUCUCAUCAACAAAAUGGAGCCACUGAUAUUUACAGCAUUAUCCCAAGGCAUAGAAAUGAUGCAUCCGAAGCCCCUGACCCAUGGCGCUGGGAAAAUAGGUUUGGAAUUUGAUGAACUGCCUGCUGCUGGCUCCUCUGUUUUCUGGCAUCAAGGUUCCUCAAUAGUGGACUCAACAGUUGCAUUUUUCACCUACAAAAGAAUUGCUAUCAGAAAACCAGACAGCGGAUAAUUGUAUUUUGUGAAUUGACAGUGAAGCCACUCGGUUUCAGCCCAGGUCCAAAGGCUGAGGAUGUUCACCCAGGAGAAAUGGUUUGUGCGAGAGAAUUCAUUUCUGAGUACUCAUUUUUACUGGAGGAAACAGGGUUGCUUGGAUUUUUUUUUUUUUUAUUCUUCUUCAACAUGUAGGCAGAAGGUUCAGAAUCCCUAACAGCUCUGGCGACCCCUGCUGUGUCAGUGUGAAUGCAAGAUGCCAAGUAAGACUGGAGGCUCCAGCUUCAACCAGAGCCUCAUCCAUCUCUUCAAACCUACCAGGGAAGGAAAUAAAAAUAUGUGCCCAUAAAUUUCCUCCUUGACGGGCAGCAAAUGCGCUGGCCUCCUGCCACCUGACAGUGAAACGUGAAGCUGGGGAGUGUCUCCCUGCAAGCGCACCUAGGGCUGCUCCCGCCCCCUUCUGGAGCAGGAUCAAAAUGCUUCCCCAGAAGUGCGCCAGCUGCCCUUGUGGGCCAGGCCCAGCCAUCCAAAGCUGCCGAAGAGCAACUUGGCUUCCUUUCCCUUCUCCCACUUGGACCACCAGGAUGCCUCUGCAGUUUUUUGGACUCCUGUUUUGACCAAUUAUCCCAAUUAACUUGAGCAAGAUAGAAGGAGAGACCUAUACCCCCCUCUUUGUCCGAGAAAAAAUGCACCAAGGGAGAGAGAAUGAAGACAAGACUAUGAAUCUGUUCCCUGCACACAUCGAACUCAUUCCUAUCUCUGCGCAUGCUGUUCAACCCACUGGGAACACGCUUUCUUCUCCCAUCAGCACCCAUUUACCUAAAUUUUAUUCAUUCUUCAAGACUCAUUAAAUCCCGUCUGCUUCAUGAAGAUUUUUUAUCUGUGAGUUCACUCCCUCCACUGUCUCUUACUGUACCUGCAAUCUGUCCCAGAGUUUAAUGUGACUAUAGACAUGCUUGUGUUUCUUCUCUCCUCCCUGCUUCCCUCCUGUGCCCUGCACAGUGCUGGUCCAUUAUAAGCUUCAAGAAAUGUUUGUUGAUUGACACAUUAAAGAGAUGAACU